rnacentral:rRNA from 1 species
GGAAAGGCGCGCGAUACAGGGUGACAGCCCCGUACACAAAAAUGCACAUGCUGUGAGCUCGAUGAGUAGGGCGGGACACGUGGUAUCCUGUCUGAAUAUGGGGGGACCAUCCUCCAAGGCUAAAUACUCCUGACUGACCGAUAGUGAACCAGUACCGUGAGGGAAAGGCGAAAAGAACCCCGGCGAGGGGAGUGAAAAAGAACCUGAAACCGUGUACGUACAAGCAGUGGGAGCACGCUUAGGCGUGUGACUGCGUACCUUUUGUAUAAUGGGUCAGCGACUUAUAUUCUGUAGCAAGGUUAACCGAAUAGGGGAGCCGAAGGGAAACCGAGUCUUAACUGGGCGUUAAGUUGCAGGGUAUAGACCCGAAACCCGGUGAUCUAGCCAUGGGCAGGUUGAAGGUUGGGUAACACUAACUGGAGGACCGAACCGACUAAUGUUGAAAAAUUAGCGGAUGACUUGUGGCUGGGGGUGAAAGGCCAAUCAAACCGGGAGAUAGCUGGUUCUCCCCGAAAGCUAUUUAGGUAGCGCCUCGUGAAUUCAUCUCCGGGGGUAGAGCACUGUUUCGGCAAGGGGGUCAUCCCGACUUACCAACCCGAUGCAAACUGCGAAUACC